UACGUAGGGGGCGAGCGUUGUCCGAAGUUACUGGGCGUAAAGCGCGCGUAGGCGGGUUGGCAAGUCUGCUGUGAAAGCCCGGGGCUUAACUCCGGAGGGUCGGUGGAUACUGCCAGUCUUGAAGGUGCUAGGGAGAGAUGGAAUUACCGGUGUAGAGGUGAAAUUCGUAGAUAUUCGCAAGAACACCAGUGGCGAAGGCGGCUCACUGGCCCGAUACUGACGCUGAGGCACGAAAGCGUGGGGAGCAAACAGG
rnacentral:rRNA from 1 species